rnacentral:lncRNA from 1 species
CUUUUUUUCCUUUCCUUCCUCCUCGCAGAUCAGCGAGACCCUCAUUUGAUACGGAUGAUAAAACCAUGGUCUCUUACCAUACCCGUGACAGUGGUCAAUGUGCACUACUUAAUCACAAGUCUGUGCCAUUUUCUCCAGCCAGGAAAUGCCUACACAGGUGAAUGAAUCUAUACUGGUGAGUAUUUAUAUAAAAAAAUAAAAAACAAAAUGACUUAUUUUCUGUCUAAGUG